rnacentral:rRNA from 1 species
AACGAACGCUGGCGGCGCGCUUAACACAUGCAAGUCGAACGAAGUGCUUGUUUUCGGAUGAGUUACUUAGUGGCGCACGGGUGAGUAACGCGUGGGAACCUGCCCUUUGCUUCGGGACAACCGCGGGAAACUGCGGCUAAUACCGAAUAAUGCAGCAUCGCAAGAUGUUGCCAAAGAUUUAUCGGCGAAGGAGGGGCCCGCGUUGGAUUAGCUAGUUGGUGGGGUAACGGCCUACCAAGGCAUUGAUCCAUAGCUGGUCUGAGAGGACGAUCAGCCACACUGGGACUGAGACACGGCCCAGACUCCUACGGGAGGCAGCAGUGGGGAAUCUUGGACAAUGGGGGCAACCCUGAUCCAGCGACGCCGCGUGGAUGAAGAAGGCCUUAGGGUUGUAAAGUCCUUUCACCGGGGAGAAUGAUGAUGUUACCCGGAGAAGAAGCACCUGCUAACUCCG